CUGAAAACUAAGCAGAAAUAAGAAUAGAGUUAUUAGACACAGCACCAGUCAUCUUGAGCUCAUGAAGGCCCACAAGCAAAGGUACACACAGAUUCUUGUUUUGGAAUGCACUGCACAGAACAAACCCCCUAUCACAGCAAUGAUGACUUUUUAUGGGAAUGUCUCUCUGAAAGGUGUUUUGCUCCCAUCAACUCUCCUGUCUCCUAUAACCAACAGAUAAUCAAUGCCUUGCCAUGGCCCAGGCAUACUAAGUGGGUGGGACCUGGGACAGCUGGAUUCUGGUCACAGAUCCAAAGCCAAUUUUGUCAUGCUUUAGACAAAACUACUUCUCUGCCAACUAUUUAUCUGAUUUCAAGUUUCUCUAGCUCCAGUGUGGGAUACUAUCAUCUACAGUUGUCUGACAGGUAGCAGACAAAUCUGAAGUUGAUCACAGCUAAACCACAUCUGUGAAGCAUAGCAUGCUGUUGGUAAUAUAAAAAUAUAAUUAAGUAAACAAUUAAACAAGCAUUGAAAACCUAUAUACUUUAAAAAAUACCUGUUUUCAUAAAGGCAGCUUCUCUAGCUUGUAAAAAAAUGCAGAUGCUAGAAGAUUUAAUGUGAGUUUGGACAGGAUGAACUUCAGCUGUGAAAUAUGCUGUAGGUUGACCUCAAGAGAUUUGAAAGUAUAUAUGGAUGGCAGUUAACCAAAAGCUCAAGUACACAUAUAUUGGCACACAGCUUCACUGGAUCAGAGGUCAGCCUAAAUUUUCUGACAUGUACAGACCCAUUGUGCCUGGACUAAAAAUACAACACAAAUAACGUUUCUGGCAGUACAUUAGCUCUUGCAGAUAAAAGUAAAGGCAAAGGCAGGAUUUCAAAAGCACAGACCAUUGUAUAUUAGCUUUCAAUACUGGGUUCCUUCUAUGGGGGACACAUAAAUGGCUUUAAGACCAUUUGACUUGUUUCCUGAUCAUAGACUAAAAGUUAUUUCUUCUUCCAUGCUGCGUGUGAGAAGCCAUGAAGGACAAAUUGCAUCACCAACAGGAAUGUCACCAGGUCUUCACGUGUCAUCUGGCAGUAUGAUUUGAUGUAAUAACCAUCCAGCUGUCCCAUCAGGCAGAAAGACAGUAUGGAACCUCACCCUGCUUCUGCUGAAGAAUUCCCCCCCAUGACACUGCUCUGAAAGUACUGUUCAGGCUUAGAUCUCCCCCAUGUGGCAAUCAAACCCAAGUCAAUAAUUUCAAAGCAUUUUCCA